rnacentral:rRNA from 1 species
UGGGGAAUUUUGGACAAUGGACGCAAGUCUGAUCCAGCCAUGCCGCGUGCGGGAAGAAGGCCUUCGGGUUGUAAACCGCUUUUGUCAGGGAAGAAACGAGUUUCUCUAAUACGGUGGGCUCAUGACGGUACCGUAAGAAUAAGCACCGGCUAACUACGUGCCAGCAGCCGCGGUAAUACGUAGGGUGCGAGCGUUAAUCGGAAUUACUGGGCGUAAAGCGUGCGCAGGCGGUUAUAUAAGACAGAUGUGAAAUCCCCGGGCUCAACCUGGGGACUGCGUUUGUGACUGCAUAACUAGAGUACGGCAGAGGGAGGUGGAAUUCCGCGUGUAGCAGUGAAAUGCGUAGAUAUGCGGAGGAACACCGAUGGCGAAGGCAGCCUCCUGGGCCAGUACUGACGCUCAUGCACGAAAGCGUGGGGAGCAAACA